UACGGAGGGUGCGAGCGUUGUCCGGAAUCAUUGGGCGUAAAGGGCGCGUAGGUGGCCCGGUCAGUCUUUGGUGAAAGCGCGGGGCUCAACCCUGCGUCGGCCAGGGAUACUGCCGCGGCUCGAGCACUGUAGAGGCAGGCGGAAUUCCUGGUGUAGCGGUGAAAUGCGCAGAUAUCAGGAGGAACACCGGUGGCGAAGGCGGCAUACUGGAUCACUUCUGACGCUGAGGCGCGAAAGCCAGGGGAGCAAACGGG
rnacentral:rRNA from 1 species